rnacentral:rRNA from 1 species
AUUGAACGCUGGCGGCAUGCUUUACACAUGCAAGUCGAACGGCAGCGCGGGCUUCGGCCUUGCGGCCAGUGGCGGACGGGUGGGUAAUGCAUCGGAACGUGCCCAGUAGUGGGGGAUAGCCCGGCGAAAGCCGGGUUAAUACCGCAUAACACCUGAGGGUGCAAGCUGGGGACCGAAAGGGCUCGCGCACUUUGUACGGCCGAUGUCGGAUUAGCUAGUUGGUUGGGUAAAGGCUUACCAAGGCGACGAUCCGUAGCUGGUCUGAGAGGACGACCAGCCACACUGGGACUGAGACACGGCCCAGACUCCUACGGGAGGCAGCAGUGGGGAAUUUUGGACAAUGGGGGCAACCCUGAUCCAGCCAUGCCGCGUGCGGGAAGAAGGCCUUCGGGUUGUAAACCGCUUUUGUUCGGGAAGAAAGCCUCUGGGCUAAUACCCCGGGGGGAUGACGGUACCGGAAGAAUAAGCACCGGCUAACUACGUG